ensembl:lncRNA
UGUAAUUCCCCUAGGUGGCGUUGUCAAGUUUAUUUAUUUUGUGCAUAACCCCGCCGACCACUUGGUCACAUUUGUCUUUGUGGACCUUCCUUUGUUCACUGGUGCACAUUCAUGUAUGAAGAGUUGGCAGCAUGAAAUGAUCUAAAAUGUCUUGCACCAAACUUUACAGUUAGCACAGUGUAGUCAGACAUGUACCAUUCUUCCUGGCACCCACCAAACGCAGACUCACCCAUCAGAUUGAGACAGAGAUCAGACAGAGAAGUGUGAUUCAUCCUCUAAGAGAACAAGUGUCCACUGUAGAAAGUUGGUGACCUCUGUUUACCACGUGCCUGAGCGUCCACCGACCCCGCUCUGUGAUUUUUUUUUUUUUUUUUUUUUUUUUUUUUUACAUGGCCUACUGGUUCACGGCUGAGUUGCUGUCGUUCCCAAUCAUUUCCACUUGACGAUAACACCACUGACACACGACUGUGGAAUAUUUAGUAGUGAGGAAUCUUUAAGACUGGACUUGUUGCACAGGUUGCAUCCUAUCACGGUACCACGCUGGAAUUCCCUGAGCUCCUGAGAGCGACACACAAAUGUUUGUGGAAACAAUCUGCAUGCUGAUGCUUGAUUUCAGUGACUUGCAUGGCUGAGUGAAUACUUUGGCUGCUCCCUCCAGGGGUGCACAGAGCGGGUCAUCUGCCCAGAUCUCAACCUAUCGCUGUCACACCAACACUCUCGACUGCAUCCAUGAACUUCCUGUGGUUUCCAUCUUUUCCUCCUGCACUGCAGCUCCAUCCACAGUAUCCUUUGUCCAAAAUAUUCAUGAUCCGUCCUCUACACGUCCAAACCAGCUGAGUCUCCCCUUUCUUUGUUUUUAAUACAGCUUUCCAAAUUUUGACAUUUUAUCUUUAUAUAUUCAUUCAGAGGAUGAUGGUUUAUAAUCCUUACAGAGGUGCCUGCUACAUCUGACGUCACCUGUAUUUAUCAUUGUGAGGGAAGCCAAGCCUGCGACGGUGUGAGGACAGCAGAGCAGGAACUGAAAACUGAGCCCAUCUCUGGAUGAAUGAAAACAGCAGUGCAUCACUUCCUGUACCUACAUGCAGGCUGUGCUUUAAGAACCCCGAAACUAGGAGUACCGGUAUAUGAACAGUGCAGCCCUGCUGUGUGUUUACUCUGCUGAUGCAUGAAGUAGAACUAGCUACACCUGGAAGAUUAUUACAGUUAACCAGUUUGCCACUUUAACAGCAGUUAACUGGAAUAACAGACUAAACUGGUUCUGUGUAAAUACUGGAAAUGUCUUUGGCUUCUCAUUUUAUUUGCUUCUGUUUUCUGAUCCUAAUAAAAUGUUAUUUUAUUCA